rnacentral:lncRNA from 1 species
GGUUAGAUCACAGUUCACACACAGAGUCAGUCACUUGCGAUGACGAGUCCACACAGAACAGCCGCAGUAGUGGCUGUAGUGUGUAGUCCUGUGUGUGUGUUUGGGGGUGGGGGGGGCCAAUAUUUAAACUUAAGUAUGAUAAGGGUGCAUUAAUCAACAAUUAAUGGGCAACUUCGACAAUCUAGGGUAAAACACUCUAAUCUAGGGUAAAAUCGACAAAAAUCUAGGGUAAGAUUUCAUCAACUCAUGGAAGCACUGUCAGUCAGCAGCAGAGCCAGUGCGGAUGAAGAUCUCGAGGAGAGUGAACGUGCGUCUCCCUCACUCACUAUUUUCCCUGUAAGGCAGGGGUACUCAACUGGCGGACCGCGGUCCGGAUCCGGACCUUCUGAGUGUUGCAGUUGGACCUCAGACCCCAGGAAGAGAAAAUUCUAGUUAAAUAGCAUGAAGGUCCUGGUGAAAGUAUCUUGCAAGUUUUUUUUUUGGUCGACUAUGACUAUAUAUAUUUAGAAUAGUUUUCCUAUGAUAUUACAUUUUCUGUUAUUGCUUUUGCAUUAACAGAAAAUGAGAAAAAUCAGCUGGCUUCUGUUGUUUACAUACAUGGCUGGCGAGGCAAGGGUAAACUUUGACGUGAGAUGUUCUGGACAAGUCUGAAUUUAUCUUAGGCUUCCUAUCAAUAGUUGCAUUUGUUCAGGAAUAAUUCAGGAGUACGUUGGUAGCAGGGGCGUAUAUUCAGGGUGUGCUAGCCUGCUUAAAAUAUGGGGUUGGGUGUGCUGCUCAACCAGCCAGCGCUCAUUGCUGGUUGAGCAGCACAACCAGCCAUGGCUGGAAGUUAUAAAAUACUUUUGGCUCUCAUUAUGUGGCACAUGUACGUCGAUUUUGCGUCGAGAGUUCACAGGCUGCAGGAGGAGCGCGUUUUGCUAUGGAGCCCGUAGACAGGUGAAAAAAAAAAUCAGAUGGGACAAAUUGAAUAAUUGGUAACAGAUUCAAUUCUUCUUACUGACGCACAUAAUGAUGACCAGUAAACAUUAAUUACUUCACCCCUUGGGGUGUAGUAUUGUUUUGUGUGUGUGUGUGUGUGUGUGUGUGUGUGUGUGUGUGUGUGUGUGUGUGUCUGUCUGUCUGUGUGUGUGUCUGUCUGUCUGUCUGCCUGUGUGUCCGAACUACUGUGAACGGAUCAAAACGAACCUUGGUAGACACAUUGGGUAUGACACGGCAAACACUCAGAAUACAUUUGACCUCGCCAAGGUCAAAGGUUGUUGUGAUGAACCAACUGGUAAAUUUGUAACACGUUUUUUUUUUCAUUUACAGGAGACAUGGCGUGUUCGAAGAGAUUGAGAUUGUUUUCUUUUUUAUAUUUCAUGUAAUAAAAAUUUCCGGACCUAUGCGUACAUUGGAGCUUGUCUAACUGGACCUUUGCUUAUAAUAGUUGAGUAGCCCUGCUGUAAGGCAUUGGUUCCCAACCUGGGGGUAAAUUACCCCCUGGGGGUAAUUUAGCAAUUUUUCGGGGGUAAUGGAGGGGUGACAGAAAAAUGUUAAGAAUUCUGAAAAUCAAGUAAGCAUUGGUAUUAGGAUUAAUGUUAACUUAGUCUUAGUAUUUUAAGUUGUAAAGUAAACCUAUUAUAAGUAAGUAACAAAGCUAAACCAAAUAACAAUAAAUAUAAAAAAACUAAUAUACAGUAUUAGAAAAGAAAAAAUAUAUAGCUAAGUGUGUGGUAACCGAAGAGUAUUUUCACAAGUAUGCUUCAGGACACAAGUCACUCAGUAACCCCGAUGACUCAUCGACGAGUCCAGUACGCGUCACUCACUGCCCGAGUCUGCCUCUAUUUCACACUGCCAGUUUCUCUGUGAGCAUCAGCCGAGGUGGACAUGAGUUGUUGGUAUCAUUCUCAACAACGUAUCUGUGCGAGAAGGGGUUCUCAACUGUGCUGGGGAUGAAAACAAAAAAGAGGACUCGCUUGAAUGUUGCAAACGAUGCCAGGCUGGCACUUUCAACCACGAAGCCAAGAAUUCCCUCAACUAGCUUCAAAUAUGCAACUCCAACCAUCUCACUGAUGCUCUUGACAUCUUUGCAAGAUGGAGAAUAGACGAGUUCUCUCAGACGAGGCAGUCCAGGAACUCCUGGAUGAAGUGACUCUGGACAUCGAGGGUGAUGUCACCGUCAUGGGUGCGGAGGAAGUCCCACAGACCUCCUCAUCCACGAGGUUGUAGAUGGUGGCUCACCCUCACAUGCUCCACCAUCCUCACCAGAGGAAGAUGAUGUCAUCAUUGAUGUUGACACAUCAACAAUGGAUUUUUCGGUGACUCCUCAAAAACCACACGUUUUAGAGGAGUACAUUACAGAUGUGGACCUGUCACCUGUUGCAGGCCCAUCAACAAUGCCUGAUCCUGGCCCCUCACAAUACGCAGAACGUCAUCUCUUCCAGUUGCAUACGGAGGCCUGCGUCCACAUACCCAUGGAAGGAAGAGGGACAUCGUUUUUUUUUCCCAAAAAGAAUUAUACUGUAUUAAAAAAAAAA